AUCUAUUUUUUUACGUUUUUCAUUCGACCGCCUUGACGGUAGCCCGGGGCACAUCUGAAGGCUAUACUUAACUCCUUCGGACUCAAUCUCUUCGUGUCUACUGCAUUAAACGAGUAGCAGGUGGUUGCAAAAAACGAUGGACCAAAUUGGUCGGAGGAUUCAAUUUUUUUUCGGGCGUUCGUUGGAGUAUGAUUGUCAGGGGUCUUGCAAUAUGCAUGCCUCGAAAAUGAGAGUUUAGGAAAUAACUAGGAAAUAACUUGUCCACCCCUUCAAACAACAACGACAAAAAAAAAGGUCAUAGGAGUAUAAACCGAGCGGAUCAUCGCGAACAACUCCAAUAUAGUAAAUAACCUCAUUCGCCAUAGAUAGCAAUUAGCUGACAUCGGCAAUUUUGUAACUUGUGUACGAUGAAUAAAGACCAUUAUUCAUUA